rnacentral:rRNA from 1 species
GAUGAACGCUGGCGGCGUGCCUAAUACAUGCAAGUCGAGCGAACGGACGAGAAGAUUGCUUUUCUGAUGUUAGCGGCGGACGGGUGAGUAACACGUGGAUAACCUACCUAUAAGACUGGGAUAACUUCGGGAAACCGGAGCUAAUACCGGAUAAUAUUUUGAACCGCAUGGUUUAAAAGUGAAAGACGGUCUUGCUGUCACUUAUAGAUGGAUCCGCGCUGCAUUAGCUAGUUGGUAAGGUAACGGCUUACCAAGGCAACGAUGCAUAGCCGACCUGAGAGGGUGAUCGGCCACACUGGAACUGAGACACGGUCCAGACUCCUACGGGAGGCAGCAGUAGGGAAUCUUCCGCAAUGGGCGAAAGCCUGACGGAGCAACGCCGCGUGAGUGAUGAAGGUCUUCGGAUCGUAAAACUCUGUUAUUAGGGAAGAACAUAUGUGUAAGUAACUGUGCACAUCUUGACGGUACCUAAUCAGAAAGCCACGGCUAACCACGUG